CCUGGUUGCUCGCCUGCUGCCUCUGGACUAUGGCCCCCUUUUAAAAGACUUUAUUUUUCCAUGCAGAAAAGCUGUAUUCAUGCUUUUCUGCCGGUUGUUCGGUAGUUUCAAACUACCGAACAACCGUACGAAUGACUGGACCACCUGGGAGCUGGAGUGUGCCGGCAAUUAACCUCCCUGAAGCUGCGGUUAACCGCAGCUUAAUUGAUGAACGCUGGGUGGCCGCCGUUCGUAUCCCGAACACGAG